rnacentral:rRNA from 1 species
UACGUAGGGACCAAGCGUUGUUCGGAUUUACUGGGCGUAAAGGGCGCGUAGGCGGCAAUUCAAGUCAUCUGUGAAAUCUCCGGGCUUAACCCGGAACGGUCAGGUGAUACUGUUUUGCUAGAGUGCAGAAGGGGCAAUCGGAAUUCUCGGUGUAGCGGUGAAAUGCGUAGAUAUCGAGAGGAACACCAGAGGUGAAGACGGGUUGCUGGGCCGACACUGACGCUGACAGCGCGAAAGCCAGGGGAGCAAACGGG